CAGCUGUCUACAAACCAGGAGGAGAGAUCUCACGAGAAACCAAUGCUGAGAGACCUUGAUCUGAAACUUCCAGGCUCCAGAACUGAAAUGGAGCCAGUCACACUGUUGGAAGAACUGUGACAAAGGAAGCGCGUGGACCUUGACCCGGAAGCAGAUGAUCCUCCCUCUCUUUAGCGUCAGAAGGUCAAUAGUAGCCUAACGCUCCGUCACGGUGCCCACGCCAUUCCCCUCACCUCGUUGCAUCAUGUGGGCAUUUUGUCAUCUCACAUCAUCACAAGAAGAAGGGAAUAAUUGCGUGUUCCGAAGAUUUUCACCUGUUAGAAAGGAUGGGCCCGCUCAGCUGAACAGGG